rnacentral:rRNA from 1 species
GACGAACGCUGGCGGCGUGCUUAACACAUGCAAGUCGAACGCUGAAGCCUGGCUUUUGUUGGGUGGAUGAGUGGCGAACGGGUGAGUAACACGUGAGUAACCUGCCCUCUUCUUUGGGAUAACGCCCGGAAACGGGUGCUAAUACUGGAUAUUCACUUGCCUUCGCAUGGGGGUGGGUGGAAAGGGUUUUUUCUGGUGGGGGAUGGGCUCGCGGCCUAUCAGCUUGUUGGUGGGGUGAUGGCUUACCAAGGCUUUGACGGGUAGCCGGCCUGAGAGGGUGACCGGUCACAUUGGGACUGAGAUACGGCCCAGACUCCUACGGGAGGCAGCAGUGGGGAAUAUUGCACAAUGGGCGCAAGCCUGAUGCAGCGACGCCGCGUGAGGGAUGGAGGCCUUCGGGUUGUGAACCUCUUUCGCUCAUGGUCAAGCCGCAACUCAUGGUUGUGGUGAGGGUAGUGGGUAAAGAAGCGCCGGCUAACUACGUGCCAGCAGCCGCGGUAAUACGUAGGGCGCGAGCGUUGUCCGGAAUUAUUGGGCGUAAAGGGCUUGUAGGCGGUUGGUCGCGUCUGCCGUGAAAUCCUCUGGCUUAACUGGGGGCGUGCGGUGGUACGGGCUGGCUUGAGUGCGGUAGGGGAGACUGGAACUCCUGGUGUAGCGGUGGAAUGCGCAGAUAUCAGGAAGAACACCGGUGGCGAAGGCGGGUCUCUGGGCCGUUACUGACGCUGAGGAGCGAAAGCGUGGGGAGCGAACAGG